rnacentral:rRNA from 1 species
GCACCACCGCGUGGGUCUUCCUUUGGCUCGUCCGAAGGGGGGCUUACGUUUUCACACAAACUUUGUAUGCAGUGUAGAAUGUACCUUUGUUUUGCGAUCACGCAAUUAAUACAACUUUCAACAACGGAUCUCUUGGCUCUCGCAUCGAUGAAGAACGCAGCGAAAUGCGAUACGUAAUGUGAAUUGCAGAAUUCAGUGAAUCAUCGAAUCUUUGAACGCACCUUGCGCCCCUUGGCAUUCCGAGGGGCACACCCGUUUGAGUGUCGUGAAAUUCUCAAAACCCUUUUCUUUUUGGGAGAAGGGUUUUGGACUUGGAGGCCUUUUGCUGGCUUUGCCUUGAAGCCAGCUCCUCCUAAAUGAAUUAGUGGGGUCCACUUUGCCGAUCCUUGACGUGAUAAGAUGUUUCUGCGUCUUGUGGUUUGACACUGUCACCCGCUUCUAAUCGUCUCAUUGACAAUUGAUGGUGUUCCGGUCACCACCUCUCUAUGGGGUGGUUGGCUUGACCCACAACAUGACCUUGACCUCAAAUCGGGUGAGACUACCCGCUGAACUUAAGCAUAUCAAUAAGCG